rnacentral:rRNA from 1 species
UACGGAGGGUGCGAGCGUUGUCCGGAAUCACUGGGCGUAAAGGGCGCGUAGGCGGCCUGAUAAGUAGGGGGUGAAAUCCUGCGGCUUAACCGCAGGGCUGCCUUCUAAACUGUCAGGCUUGAGCACAGUAGAGGCAGGUGGAAUUCCCGGUGUAGCGGUGGAAUGCGUAGAGAUCGGGAAGAACAUCAGUGGCGAAGGCGGCCUGCUGGGCUGUUGCUGGACGCUGAGGCGCGGACAGCGU